UACGGAGGGUGCAAGCGUUAUCCGGAUUCACUGGGUUUAAAGGGUGUGUAGGCGGGCUAUUAAGUCAGUGGUGAAAUCUCCGGGCUCAACCCGGAAACUGCCAUUGAUACUAUUAGUCUUGAAUAUUGUUGAGGUAGGCGGAAUAUAUCAUGUAGCGGUGAAAUGCAUAGAUAUGAUAUAGAACACCGAUUGCGAAGGCAGCUUACUAAAACAAUUAUUGACGCUGAGGCACGAAAGCGUGGGGAUCAAACAGG
rnacentral:rRNA from 1 species